UACAGAGGGGCGAAGCGUUAUUCGGAAUUAUUGGGCGUAAAGGGGCGCGUAGGCGGCUUGGCAAGUGGAAGGUGAAAUCCCUCGGCUUAACCGAGGAACUGCCCUCCAAACUGCUUCCGCUUGAGACCGGGAGAGGUGAGUGGAAUUCCCAGGUGUAGCGGUGAAAUGCGUAGAUAUUGGGAGGAACACCAGUGCGAAGGCGGCUCACUGGACCGGUAUUGACGCUGAUGCGCGAA
rnacentral:rRNA from 1 species